UUUCCUCCAUCUGCCUGCCUGUCUCAGCUGGAAAUCUCCAUCAUCAGUCAGUGGACUGAUGGAUCAUGGCACUAAAACUCCUCAGUAGAAGGCAGCUGCAUUAUCUAAGCGGGGGAACAUGUUAAACAGGUACCAUUAUAAAAGGAAUGACUUCAGGUAAAAUAGAACAAUGAAGAGGCUGUCGUUUUGAAGUCAAAUCUGAAUUUCUCACCUGGCUCUAUUACUUUCUUACUGUGUAAUGCUGGCUUGAUGCAGAUGAGCAGGUAACCAUGGAAGUCGUGAGCUGAGGCUGCAGAGUCUAGAGCCAGAGUGUGGAAUAAACUUGGGUCUCAAAUCACCCCUGGAGCAAAGCACCCAUCUAAUCAGGAACUUCUACUUUCAACUUUACAUGCGUGAGAAAUGAACUUCUAUCAUGUUAGAGAAAUCCUUACACGGCGCCCUUGAGAGCUUUCAUACUGCAAGUCAUCCAUUUUCCUCCCCUCAAACCUGGCAUCGGAGUUUAUUGAAACAAAGCAAAAUAAAACAAAUAGACAA
rnacentral:lncRNA from 1 species